rnacentral:rRNA from 1 species
GAUCAUGGCUCAGGAUGAACGCUGGCGGCGUGCCUAACACAUGCAAGUCGAACGAGGUAAAUGAGAUGAAGUUUUCGGAUGAAUUCUUAUUUGCCGAGUGGCGGACGGGUGAGUAACGCGUGGGUAACCUGCCUCAUACAGGGGGAUAACGGUUAGAAAUGACUGCUAAUACCGCAUAAGCGCACAGUACCGCAUGGUACGGUGUGAAAAACUCCGGUGGUAUGAGAUGGACCCGCGU